AUGUUCUUUCAUUUUGAAGGAUUCACAAGGCGAUACUGUCAUGAGACAAUUUGGUUAUGUGUAGGCAUACACGAUGUGCGACACCAACAUUUUCGACAUUCCCAUAAAGGUGAACUCCUCCCCUUUGAGACAUCCUCAAAUACGCAUAUUGGAUGGGUCACUCUUUCAUUGUUGCCCCUUGUUGUUGUCUACAUGAUACAUCUCGCGAACGGAGGAGCAACAUUGGAGAUUGGCUUUAUGGACCUUCACAUUGAGGAGCACUCGGACUUAUUGGAUGCACCUUCGAGCCUCCACUCAUGCCACAACAUCGAGUAUUGGUACACCAACACCUCCAUAUUUGUUGAUUGUGAUCACACAUGUCAUGCUCGAUGGACAUAUCAUGCACAUGACAAAUUUGCAUCUUAUGUAUGGAUUGACUCACAUUAUGUUUGCCUUGUUGCAUGUUGUAUUCCCAUGUCAUCCAUGAUAUAUGAGCUUGUGCAUUUCCUUAGCAAAUUUGUUGUGAUCUUUCUUGAUGGCAUAUUCAUACAUAGUGUUCACAUUGCCUACCAUCAAUUGCAUGAUAACAUACACAUAUUGAGCAUCCAUUGCCAUAUUCAUGCUCUUGAUAAACCAUCACACUAUGACAUCAUUUUGCACCGUGGUUGCAUUGAUCAUAUUCACAAUACAUUAGUGUGCACAAUGAAUGCUUUUGCUCCCAUGAAUGCUUUGCGUAUCAUUCUAUCAUCUUGUUAA
rnacentral:rRNA from 1 species